rnacentral:rRNA from 1 species
GACGAACGCUGGCGGCGUGCUUAACACAUGCAAGUCGAACGGAAAGGCCCUGCUUUUGUGGGGUGCUCGAGUGGCGAACGGGUGAGUAACACGUGAGUAACCUGCCCUUGACUUUGGGAUAACUUCAGGAAACUGGGGCUAAUACCGGAUAGGAGCUCCUGCUGCAUGGUGGGGGUUGGAAAGUUUCGGCGGUUGGGGAUGGACUCGCGGCUUAUCAGCUUGUUGGUGGGGUAGUGGCAUAGCAAGGCUUUGACGGGUAGCCGGCCUGAGAGGGUGACCGGGCACAUUGGGACUGAGGUGGGGGCCGGAGUCCUACGGGAGGCAGCGGUGGGGAAUAUUGCACGAUGGGCGGAGGCCUGAUGCAGCAACGCCGCGUGCGAGAUGACGGCCUUCGGGUUGUAAACCGCUUUCGCCUGUGACGAAGCGUGUGUGACGGUAAUGGAUAAAGAAGCACCGGCUAACUACGUG